rnacentral:lncRNA from 1 species
GUCAACGCGGGAUUAUGCAGGAAUUAUGCGGUCAACGCGGAAAUUAGGCGGUCUUACGCGGGUCAACGCGGAUCAACGCCUGGCUACACCGAUUUGGACAUAAUCGCCGCGGUCAACCUCCGAACAGCACCUAAGCGGCUAAGCGGCCGCCUUUUCGAAAACGCCCAAAAAAUAAUAAAAAGAAAAUUUUGGACAUUAUUAUAAUUAUAAAAUGAAAUAACAGAUCUCGAGAUACUUAAGUGUGAAUCUCAUAAAAAACAAAUCUGAUAAAUAAGAACGACUCAAA